ensembl:lncRNA RNASEH2B-AS1 RNASEH2B antisense RNA 1
GGGCUAGAAUGCAGUGACAUGAACACGGCUCACUGCAGCCUCAACCUCCCAGGCUCAAGCAAUCUUUCCACCUCACCCUCCUGAGUAGCUAGGACUAUAGGCAUGUGCCACCACACCCAGCUAAUUUUUUCUUUAAAUUUUUUUGUAGAGAGAGGGUCUCCCUAUGUUGCCCAGGCUCAAGAUGGCCUUCUAAUGGAGCCAAUAUCUAUCUAUUCAUUCAACAUAUUGCAAAUAAACUUUGGAAAUAAACCAGUUAUAUGAAAUAAAGAAGUAAAUAAAUUAUUAAAUAAAUGGCCUUACUUUAUUCUGUCUCCUCUGCAGGCUUCUGCAAAAGACUUGAGACAGCUCACAAUGAAGUACUCUGUAUUAGGCAGGGUAAUAUUGAUUGCAAGUGACAGAAACCCAAUCAGAAACUCACUGGAGUCAUGAGGAACACUUAUUGGCUCAGAGUAAAGGCAAAAUAGACCUUCAGAGAAAUAAAGUCUGGGAAAUUGACUAGAUCCUCACUGAAAGAACUACUAAAGGAUGUACUUAUGGAAGAAGAAAAUUACAAAGUGAAAGAACUGGGAUGCAAGAAGUAAUGUUCCCAACAUGAUGUGAACAACAUCUGUGCUGGUUGAAUGAAUGAAUGGUGUUGAAAGCAUCUACAUCAGGGGUGUCCAAUCUUUCAGCUUCCCUGGGCUACACUGGAAGAAGAAUAAUUUUCUUGCACCACAUAUAAAAUACACUAACACUACUGAUAGCUGAUGAGCUAAAAAAAAAAAAUCGCAAAAAAAUCUCAUGUUUUAAGAAAGUUUAUGAAUUUGUGUUGGGCCACAUCCAAAGCCAUCCUGGGCUGCAUGCAGCCUGCAGGCCAUGGGUUGGACAAGCUUGACUACAGCUUUAAAGUGAUCUUAAUCUAAUCAAUUCUUCCCCAUUCAGAAGAAACCUACUACAUCAGAGUCUAUUGAGAAUCUAUCUCCCUAAUCACCCUCAGGCACAGGGUUAUUAUGUAUUGAUAUCAUACACACUAAAAAAUUCCAUCAUACAGGUCUAGAAAUACUUCCAUAAUACAGUAAUAUUUUAAUAGAGUCAUAACACACAGACAGCCACCCAUUCUGCCUGUAGCCAGUCAUGGAGCAAUACAUUUUGUACAUAACCUGUAAUUUCUUCUGGAGAGUGUAAUUACAAUGCCAAUAUGACAUUUUAUUUUUAUUAUUAUUAUUUAGUUAGUUAGUUAGUUACUUUUUGAGACAGAGUCUCACUCUGUCGCCAGGCUGGAGUGCAGUGGUGUGAUCUCGGCUCACUGCAACCUCUGCCUCCCGGGUUCAAGUGAUUCUUCUGCCUCAGCCUCCCGAGUAGCUGGGACUAUGGGUGCCCACCACCACACCUGGCUAAUUUUUGUAUUUUUAGUAGAGAUGGGGUUUCACCAUGUUAGCCAGGAUGGUCUAGGGGUUGAUAAACUACAGUGCACAGGCCAAAUCUGGUUUACUGCCUGAUUUUGUAAAUAAAGUUUUAUUGGAACACAGCCUUGCCCAUUUAUUUACUUAUUGUCUCUGACUGCUUUCAUGCUACAAUAGAGUAGUUGCAACAGAAACUAUAGUCUGCAAAGCCUAAACUAUUUACAACCUGGACCUUUAGAGAAAGUUUGCUGACUCUUUUUUUAAUGGAUAAACUAAAAGUAUGUAAGUAAACAUGAUUUCAUGUCUUAUGAUAUGUCAGGUGAAUGGUACAAUCCUUUGGUUUAAGUUCUUAGUAUUAUACCUAAAGUAUAUCUACCAUGAAAUGCAUUUUCCACCUUUCAUAGUCUCAGCUGGUUAAUCAAAAUAAAUGGAUUCUAUGGCAUAAUUCAGGAUGUUACCAUUUUUGCUUUUUAGAUCAGCUCUUCACCCACUGUUUUCCUGUCAUACACAUGGUGUUCUUAAAAUUGUAAAUGAAAACUCAUUUGAACUUACAUUAGUAACUUCUGUUAAAUUAUACUGGAUUGCUUAUUAAGUAAGCAUUAUUAUCCACAUUAAAUCUGUCACAGAUGAAAAAAUUACACAUAAAGGAGACUGCUUGAGGCCCCAGGGCAUGCUGUAAUAUACAUAGAGGCUCCUGAAUACUUGGUUUUCCAUGUGGAUCUCUGAUUUUGCUGAAAGAAGUCUGUAAACUGAUGUAGUCAGACAGCUCCCCACUGGCUACACAUCUCUAUAGAAUUUAGAAGCAUUGUUUAUUUCAGCAGAGGUCUGGAAUGAAUUUUCCUUAUAAUUUAACUCCUGAAAUGACUGUUUCAAAAGGUCAACUGUGGUGAACUUGCAUAUGUGACUUGCAGUCACAGCUAAGUCACGAUCCCUUAGUUUUUCCAGAAGUCCACUAGAACGUUAGCUCCAUGGCACUGUUAUCUUGCAUCUCCAGGUCCUGAAACAGCCCUUAGUGCAUACUAGGUAUUCAAUAACUUUUUUUUGAAUAAAUGUUUUAUGUAAAUUCCAUCACAAAUAUGGAAGAUCUUAGAGGGGAUUUUUGAAAACCAAAGAAAGUUGAAACUCCUUCACAUGGAGUUUGGAUGUUGAACUUAGAGGCUUGACUUAGCCAUUUUUAAAAAACGAAAUGUGUGUGUAUGUUUAUUUAAGGUACCUUAGUGACAGGUACAACCUACAGCCCAAAGACAAUGUACAAAACCCAAUGAGGGGACAAGCCUCCACUCUUUUAUAAGAUGCAGAAAUUUGCAGGAGUCUAUCACUCUUACUCUAACCAUGAGAACAGACCAGAAGCACUACAAAUGACAGUUUUAUUUGUUGUUGCUUUCAUUUGCA